UCCCUCUUAGCUCAGUUGGUAGAGCGCGUCACUAGUACAGGCUUCAGUCAGUUCGCUAACUUGAACGCUAAGCACGAUGACGAGGUCAGUUGUUCGAGUCAGCUAGAGGGAA